rnacentral:tRNA from 1 species
GGAGGGCUAUCGAAGUGGUCAUAACGAGCUCGACUCGAAAUCGAGUUGUCGGUGAUGAGCCGGCACGUGGGUUCGAAUCCCACGCCCUCCGCCA